GUGAGGAAUAUUGCGCAAUGGAGGCAACUCUGACGCAGCCAUGCCGCGUGCAGGAAGAAGGCGCUACGCGUUGUAAACUGCUUUUAACCGGGAAGAAACCCCAGGACGUGUCCUGGGUUGACGGUACCGGAGGAAUAAGCACCGGCUAACUUCGUGCCAGCAGCCGCGGUAAUACGAAGGGUGCAAGCGUUAUCCGGAUUCAUUGGGUUUAAAGGGUGCGUAGGCGGAGCGUUAAGUCAGUGGUGAAAUCCUGCAGCUUAACUGUAGACUUGCCAUGGAUACUGGCGCUCUUGAGUGCGCUGGAAGUGGGCGGAAUGUGCCGUGUAGCGGUGAAAUGCUUAGAUAUGGCACAGAACACCAAUUGCGAAGGCAGCUCACUAAGGCGAUACUGACGCUGAGGCACGAAAGCGUGGGGAUCGAACAGGAUUAGAAACCCUAGUAGUCC
rnacentral:rRNA from 1 species